CAAGACACAUGUCCUGUGUCCCGGGGAGCCAGGCCAGGCCUCGGCACAAACAGGCACCUUCCGGGGGAGAGGCAGACAACCGGGCAGGGGAGCGCUGGGGCCGAGCCCAUCUAAGCCUGUCCGCCCUGGAGGACGCAUCUGCUGCCAGGACUGCCCAGCCAUCCACACACCCCUCCCCACGAUGCCAGUAUCAGGCCGGGCGAGACUCACCGUUUUCCCGGUGCUGGAAGGAAGGGGAGAACUCUUUGGCAGUGAUCCUGGCGAUCCGCGCCUCUCCUGGGCUUUCUGAGCCGUGUGAGGGUGCCUCGGCCUUUGCCCGAGAGUGGGAGGUCCUGGGGGAGUACAGGGAGGAGCGUGAGGGGGGCAAGAGGCACAGGUGACAGGGGUCUGGGUCGAGGUACUCCGCCAACCCCCCACAACGGGCUGGGCUAAGACAAGAUGCUGGCACCCCGUGUUUACCCUCAGACUUCUGGACCUUGUUUGUUCGUUCAUUCAUUCAUUCAUUCAUUCAUUCAAUAAACGUCACUGAGCACCAACCAA
rnacentral:antisense_RNA from 1 species